UACAGAGGUCUCAAGCGUUGUUCGGAUUCAUUGGGCGUAAAGGGUGCGUAGGUGGCGCCGUUAGUCAGGUGUGAAAUCUCGGGGCUUAACUCGGAAAGGUCAACUGAUACUGUGCGAUUAGAGUGCAGAAGGGGCAACUGGAAUUCUCGGUGUAGCGGUGAAAUGCGUAGAUAUCGAGAGGAACACCUGCGGCGAAGGCGGGUUGCUGGGCUGACACUGACGCUGGAAGCGCGAAAGCUAGGGGAGCGAACGGG
rnacentral:rRNA from 1 species